UCUUCCGGAUGAGCAAAAAAAGUAGUUUCUUGAAAUGGAAUCUACUCCUAGUGAAUAUGCUGUAAA
rnacentral:pre_miRNA from 1 species